rnacentral:rRNA from 1 species
UGGGGAAUAUUGGGCAAUGGGCGCAAGCCUGACCCAGCAACGCCGCGUGAAGGAAGAAGGCCCUCGGGUUGUAAACUUCUUUUAAGAGGGACGAAACAAAUGACGGUACCUCUUGAAUAAGCCACGGCUAACUACGUGCC